CUUACUGGACGCAUAUCGUUUCUACUCUUCUACCAUAAAUAGAUGAUGCACACGAGAAAAUGCUGCCAAAGGAAAAGAAAUCUAGAACCCUUUUAAAUUCAUUUCUUGUUAUUUGAACAAACAAGCCAAGGAAUCGUCCCAAUGAACGUCAGUUUUUUGUGAGGUGUAGUUGCAUUCAAAAGGUAGCAAUGGUUGGUUGUGGAUGCAAAGACAACCAACCAAGUCUUGACUUGCAUUAAUUUUUUUUCAACUGCCUGUGUCGGUUUAAAGAGGUUUAACGUAUUCUACGUCAUUUAGGUUAGUGUUGUGAAGACAAUCUAAGAUGAAAAGUUUUCUCCCAUUAGCAAUUAAGGAACAUACGUCGCGAAGAAGAAAUUUGCAGUUGAUUAAAGGAUCGAUGCUAUGGAGUUUGAACCAACUGAAUCUUCUUCACUAUGUAACCAAUUUUGGCUUUUCACUUUCUUCCUAUUGAAAAUGAUGGGAUAUUCCAAAGUCAUCCAUGGAAGGGUUCGGGCUUGCUAUGCCAUUUCCCAGGAGGGUUGGAAUCAGCGUAUUGGAGGUAUCUUUAGGCAGAGUCAAUAACCAGGCACCACCAAUGCAUUUCCAUUUCCACGCCAACAUAGUUAAGAUGGUUCCUAAGAGAUAGUUGAUAGCUAAGAUGCAGAAUCAUGAUGAUUUAUGAGCUUUAUGAUCUCCAUCAAAAGCCUUAAUCAAGCCAAAUGUGAUGGACAUAGAUAUCCAUCCUCCUAUUAGAACUCUCAUUGCAGAUAAUCUUAUGGGUGAACCGCCAAGAAGGGCUCCAAGUCCCCCAAACAACACCAGAGCAAUAGUUGUUACCACCAUUAUUAUCACAAUCCUGGUUCUGUGUUGAGAUAUCGCCACAGCAGCCACUAGGGGAACCACCGAUCCGCAAAGAAAAGCCAAGGCUGAUGCUGCUGCUGCCUUGUAUGGAUUAGGCAGGGCCUCCUCUUUGCCAUCAACUUGCUCUUGCAUCCGUUACCACGACUUUCAUCAUCGGAGGCCUUGAAGGAGCCAAAAUAUGGGGCAGACUCUGCAUAGAUGGAGACAAUUUCCCUUGUGAUGACUCACUUUCGCUGGCCAGAUUUACAAAUGGAGAUCUGUUUGGUUCUGGCACAGAUGGAUGAGGAGUUAGAAAAUGGAUGUUGAUAUUAUCACCAACUUGCAGGUCGCGCAACUCACCAUCUGAACAAGUUUUGUGGAUUGUUGAUUUUUCGAUGUCCCUCUGGGUUGUGACAGAAACAAACUCUCCGACAGCCAUGCUGCAGGCACCUGCAAGAGCUCCUGCAAUCCCCGAAAUGAUCAUGGACUCCUGAUCGUCUUUUGCUGCACCUAUUCCGAGCAUCAUGGAUGCAGUCGAAAGCAAACCAUCAUUUGCACCAAGAAUGGCUGCUCUAAGCCAUUGAGCUCUCUGCAUUCCCUGUAGUACUUUUUCUUGUGUAGCUGUUACAGAAAGCUUAUUUCCAGAACCAGGUUCAAUUGACAUAGAAGCAGCUAUGUUAUGUAGACAAAGGUCAGAAAUGGAGCGUGGUUUUCGACUGGAAA